rnacentral:rRNA from 1 species
AGCGAACGCUGGCGGCAGGCCUAACACAUGCAAGUCGAGCGGCCGUAGCAAUACGGCAGCGGCAGACGGGAGAGUAACACGUGGGAACGCGCCCUUCGGUUCGGAAUAACUCAGGGAAACUUGAGCUAAUACCGGAUACGCCCUUACGGGGAAAGAUUUAUUGCCGAAGGAACGGCCCGCGUCCGAUUAGCUUGUUGGUGAGGUAACGGCUCACCAAGGCGACGAUCGGUAGCUGGUCUGAGAGGAUGACCAGCCUCACUGGGACUGAGACACGGCCCAGACUCCUACGGGAGGCAGCAGUGGGGAAUAUUGGACAAUGGGCGCAAGCCUGAUCCAGCCAUGCCGCGUGGGUGAUGAAGGCCUUAGGGUUGUAAAGCCCUUUCAGCGGGGAAGAUAAUGACGGUACCCGCAGAAGAAGCCCCGGCUGACUUCGUGCCAGCCGCCGCCGUAACAC